GCACUGCUGAGGAGUCCCACAAUAGGACGAAACGGCCGUUCACUGC
rnacentral:hammerhead_ribozyme from 1 species